UACAGAGGAUGCAAGUGUUAUCCGGAAUGAUUGGGCGUAAAGCGUCCGCAGGUGGCUGUGUAAGUCUGCUGUUAAAGAGUGAGGCUCAACCUCAUAAAGGCAGUGGAAACUACAUGGCUAGAGUGCGUUCGGGGCAGAGGGAAUUCCUGGUGUAGCGGUGAAAUGCGUAGAGAUCAGGAAGAACACCGGUGGCGAAAGCGCUCUGCUAGGCCGCAACUGACACUGAGGGACGAAAGCUAGGGGAGCGAAUGGG
rnacentral:rRNA from 1 species